AACGUAUUGCUUGCGUGUUUCCAGCUCGUAUGUAUUAUUAUCUUUGGAAUAUUUAUAUAAAAGGAAUGAAGAUAUGAUUGUUGUUAACGAAGGAACCGACCCUCAUUGAAGCAUUUCAAGAAUUACACUCGGAGCAAGAUAACCAUUAUAUGGAUAAGAAGGGAUCCAGAAAAGAAAUUUCUAAGGAAGUGGCCCGGGAGUCACUAAUUGCCAUAUCUUGCUCGGAUAAAGAGAAGGAUCUUGCUAUUCGAUCUAGACCUGAAAAGUUCAACGCUGAUAAUGUUAUUAAGGAGGUAAAAGGUGAGGGUGAUGAUAAUUACAGGUCUAAGCUGAUCUUGAUGUCCUACGCAGAUUCACAAGACACUACAGUUGAACCAGUCACCUGAAGAACAAGGUCAAAUUUAACAGCUGGAUUGAUCAAUCCAGCUUUUUGUAAUACUCUUCCCUUGCAAUAUGUUAUGUGGUACGGAUAAAGAACUGGAUUUAACUUGAAUCCAGUACUCUCCCAUAUACUUUACCCUAUGAACUCUUUUGUUGUAUCAAGCUAAACCAAAAUUAAGCAGACAAGUACUUCACCAGCCUUUGUACUUAGUUUUGGUGUAUUUUUUUUUUUUUUUCAAGUUUGAACUGUAGUACUUUUUUCAAGAUUAAGCAUACAUACAGUGAUACAGUUUAUUUAUGCUUUCAGUGUUAUCGUGUUUAUUAUAUGAAGUCAGUGACUCAGUUGUGCACUUUGCAAA